rnacentral:lncRNA from 1 species
AUGCUAAUCCUAAACCUGGAGGAAUACAGAAUAUCCACUGGACCUGGUGCCCCAGGACCCCCAUCACCAGUCCCAAGCCUGGAGGAUAGAAGAGCAUCUGCUGGAUCUGGUGCCCCAGGACCCCCAUCACCAGUCCCAAGCCUGGAGGAUAGAAGAGCAUCUGCUGGAUCUGGUGCCCCAGGACCUCCAUCACCAGUCCCAAGCCUGGAGGAUAGAAGAGCAUCUACUGAAUCUGGCGCCCGGGGACCCCCAUCACCAGUCCCAAGCCUGGAGAAGAGAAGAGCAUCUGCUGAAUCUGGUGCCCGGGGACCCCCAUCACCAGUCCCAAGCCUGGAGGAGAGAAGAGCAUCUGCUGGAUCGGGUGCCCAGGGACCCCCAUCACCAGUCCCAAGUCUGGAGGAGAGAAAAGCAUCUGCUGGAUCAGGUGCCCAGGGAUCCCCAUCACCAGUCCCAAGCCUGGAGGAGAGAAGAGCAUCUGCUGGAUCGGGCGCCCAGGGACCCCCAUCACCAGUCCCAAGUCUGGAAGAGAGAAGAGCAUCUGCUGAAUCUGGCGCCCGGGGAUCCCCAUCACCAGUCCCAAGCCUGGAGGAGAGAAGAGCAUCUGCUGGAUCGGGCGCCCAGGGACCCCCAUCACCAGUCCCAAACCUGGAGGAGAGAAGAGCAUCUGCUGGAUCGGGCGCCCGGGGACCCCCAUCUCCAGUCCCAAGUCUGGAGGAGAGAAGAGCAUCUGCUGGAUGGGGCACCCAAGGACUCCCAUCACCAGUCCCAAGUCUGGAGGAGAUCAGAGCAUCUACUGGACCCUGUGCCCAAAGAUCCCCAUCACCAGUCCCAAGACUGGAGGAAAUCAGAGCACCUACUGGGCCCUGCGCCCAAAGAUCCCCAUCACUAGUCCCAAGACUAGAGGAGAUCAGAGCAUUCGCUAGACCCUGCACCCAAAGAUCCCCAUCACUAGUCCCAAGACUGGAGGAGAUCAGAGCAUCUACUGGACCCUGCGCCCAAAGAUCCCCAUCACUAGUCCCAAGUCUGGAGGAGAUCAGAGCAUCCUCUAGGCCCUGCACCCAAAGAUCCCCAUCACUAGUCCCAAGACUGAAGGAGAUCAGAGCAUCUACUGGGCCCUGUGCCCAAAGAUCCCCAUCACUAGUCCCAAGACUAGAGGAGAUCAGAGCAUCUGCUAGGCCCUGCACCCAAAGAUCCCCAUCACUAGUCCCAAGACUAGAGGAGAUCAGAGCAUCUGCUUGGCCCUGUGCCCGAAGAUCCUCAUCACUAAACCCAAAACUGAAGGAGAUCAGAGCAUCCACUGGGCCCUGGGCCCAAAGAUCCCCAUCAUUAGUCCCAAAUCUGGAGGAGAGAAGAUCAUCUGCUGGAUCUGGUGCCCAGGGACCCCCACCACAAGUCCCAAAUCUGGAGGAGAGAAAAGCAUCUGUUGGAUCUCACACCCAGGGAUCCCCAUCACCAGUCCCAAGUCUGGAGGAGAGAAGAGCAUCGGCUGGAUCUGGUGCCCAGGGAUCCCCAUCACCAGUCCCAAGUCUGGAGGAGAGAAGAGCAUCGGCUGGAUCUGGUGCCCAGGGAUCCCCAUCACCAGUCCCAAGUCUGGAGGAGAGAAGAGCAUCGGCUGGAUCUGGCGCCCAGGGAUCCCCAUCACCAGUCCCAAGUCUGGAGGAGAGAAGAGCAUCGGCUGGAUCUGGUGCCCAGGGAUCCCCAUCACCAGUCCCAAGUCUGGAGGAGACAAGAGCAUCUGCUGGAUCUGGUGCCCAGGGAUCCCCAUCACCAGUCCCAAGUCUGGAGGAGACAAGAGCAUCUGCUGGAUCUGGCGCCCAGGGAUCCCCAUCACCAGUCCCAAGUCUGGAGGAGACAAGAGCAUCUGCUGGAUCUGGUGCCCAAGGAUCCCCAUCUCCAGUCCCAAGUCUGGAGGAGACAAGAGCAUCUGCUGGAUCUGGCGCCCAAGGAUCCCCAUCUCCAGUCCCAAGUCUGGAGGAGAUCAGAGCAUCCACUUGGCCCUGUGCCCAGGGACCCCCAUCACUAGUCCCAAGUCUGGAGGAGACAAGAGCAUCUGUUGUAUCUGGUGCCCAGGAAUCCCCAUCACUAGUCCCAAGUCUGGAGGAGAGAAGAACAUCUGCUGGAUCUGGUGCCCAGGGACCCCCAUCACUAGUCUCAAGUCUGGAGGAAAGAGCAUCCACUGGGCCUGGCAGCCACGGACUUCUGUCACUAGUCCUAAGUCUGCAGGAGAACAGAGAAUCCACUGAACCUGGUGCCCACGGACCCAUGUCACUAGUGUUAAGUCUGGAGGAGGACAGAGAAUCCAUUGGACCUGCUGCCCAUGGACCCCCGUCACUAGUUCUAAGUCUGCAGGAAAACAGAGCAUCCACUGGCCCCAGUGCCCACAGAUCCCUGUCACUAGUCUUAAGUCUGCAAGAGAACAGAGCAUCAGCUGGCCCGGAGCCCAAGGACCCCCAUCACUAG